UGGGCUUGUAGCUCAGCGGAUUAGAGCACGUGGCUACGAACCACGGUGUCGGGGGUUCGAGUCCCUCCUUGCCCGUC
rnacentral:tRNA from 1 species